CAGCCGCCGCGGUAAUACGUAGGGGGCAAGCGUUAUCCGGAAUUACUGGGUGUAAAGGGAGCGUAGACGGUUAAACAAGUCUGAAGUGAAGUGCCGGGGCUCAACCCCGGAGCUGCUUUGGGAACUGUAGAACUGGAGUGUCGGAGGGGUAAGCGGAAUUCCCAGUGUAGCGGUGAAAUGCGUAGAUAUUGGGAGGAACACCGGCGGCGAAGGCGGCUUACUGGACGACAACUGACGUUGAGGCUCGAAGGCGUGGGUAGCAAACAGGAUUAGAUACCCCUGUAGUCCCUGUCUCUUAUAC
rnacentral:rRNA from 1 species